rnacentral:rRNA from 1 species
GUGGGGAAUCUUGCGCAAUGGGCGAAAGCCUGACGCAGCCAUGCCGCGUGAAUGAUGAAGGUCUUAGGAUUGUAAAAUUCUUUCACCGGGGACGAUAAUGACGGUACCCGGAGAAGAAGCUCCGGCUAACUUCGUGCCAGCAGCCGCGGUAAUACGAAGGGGGCUAGCGUUGCUCGGAAUUACUGGGCGUAAAGGGCGCGUAGGCGGACAGCUUAGUCAGAGGUGAAAGCCCAGGGCUCAACCUUGGAAUUGCCUUUGAUACUGGCUGUCUUGAGUUUGGGAGAGGUGAGUGGAAUUCCGAGUGUAGAGGUGAAAUUCGUAGAUAUUCGGAAGAACACCAGUGGCGAAGGCGACUCACUGGCCCAAUACUGACGCUGAGGCGCGAAAGCGUGGGGAGCAAACAGGAUUAGAAACCCGGGUAGUCC